rnacentral:lncRNA from 1 species
UUCUCGGAAGAGGGACGUACACUUCCUUCUAACCUCGCUAAUGGUCUUUGACUUGUUCCAGGGCUACUCAAGUCUGGAGAAGUCAUCUGAGUUGCUUCAGGAAUCCCUGUUGGUUGUGCUUCAGGCUGAGAUGCUUGAUCAAGUGUAGGUCUAUAUGGUGGAUUAAUAUUUACGGAUGAAGCCACUGCUAAAUUAUCACGUACUCCUUCAAUAUUAGCACGCCCACGGCCCCUUCCACCUCGCCGACCUCUACCUCGUGCAGAUCUUGCCAUUUCUGCGACAUCACAUAAAAAGUACAUAAAGAUUCAAAAAAUGUUAUAUAGUAGUGAAAGCAUAAAAAUAUACAAUAAUGAGAUGUGGACCCCAAGGAUGCUUGAUGUGCGUUAUAUGAAGAACCCAAUAAUCAGACAGCAGAACAGUAAAGCUAAAAAUAUUGAAAAACAAGUUAAGUCCAUCGGAAAAUGCACAGGCCCAACACAUUUCUGGCAAUCGAGACCAAAGUCCUUCCUAGAAACGAGGCAAACGGUAUGUUGCGCUCUCUUCAAAAAUGCCAAACGGGUGCAUGUCGGCUCCUCCAAAAGUGGUGCAAUAUUUUGGAAUAUCCGACACAGGUGCAUCAACAUUUUGGAGAAUCAGAGCAAGAUGUUUCACUCAGGCUCAUGUUUCUGUUAUUGGCUGAACUUGAAUAAAAUCUCCAGCGUCCUUUGUAAAGGACACAUUCGAUUGAUACACAUUAUUCGUAAGUGUAAAAAUAAUAACAUAAAAUCGAUUUCUGCAAACCUUAUGCAGAAUAUGAACUGCUGUUAUCAGGUUAACUCCCCUAAUUGCAAUUGUCUACUAGCCCAUGGAACACUUAAGUAGGCACAGUACAAAUAAAUGAGAAGGGUAGAGUGGCGGACCCAUUACUAACUGAGUUUCUAACCAUGGACCACUAGCUUGCGUGGAUUUCUUAGUUAUCAAAAAAAAUUGAUACAUUAUAAAGCCUUGAAGAUUCUCAUUGAAACGAUGGGGGGAAAAACACAGCAUGAUCGCAUUACAAGAUAACUGAACAACAAUAUAAGUACAAAAUAGACGCUACAAAGAUGGACAGGGCGUCAAGCGAACAACAACAGAAUACUAAAACCAAGCUACAAGAACCUGUCUUUUGAAAAAACUAAAUGACCAGUACAAGUUAAAAUUGCAUAAUAAUUAUACGAAGUACAUAAGAGGAGAUAAAGAGACCACUUAUAAGUGUUGAAAUGCGAGAAAACUAAGUGUUGAAAUGCGAGAAAACUAACCUUCACCGCUAUUUAAAUUCUCUGGAGAUGGACGUACACUUCUUUUCAUAUUCCUUGAUAAUUGUGACUCCGACAAUGGUCUUUGACUUGUUCCAGGGUUACUUAAGUCUGGAGAAGUCGACUGAGUUACUUUAGGAAUCCCUGUUGGUUGUGCUUGCGGCUGAGAUGCUUGAUCAAGUGUAGGUCUAGCUGGUGGAUUAAUAUUUACAGAUGACUCCAAAGCAAAAUUAUCACGUACUCCUUCAAUAUUACCACGCCCGCGGCCCCUUCCACCUCGCCGGCUUCUACCUCUACCUCGCACAGAUCUU